rnacentral:misc_RNA from 1 species
AAAAAGCAUAACUGCCUACAAAAUUCUUCAUCAACUAUCUUGAGAGAGGAUUAAUUCUCAUAGAAGCUCAGGGAUCCAAUAGACAAAAACCAUGCUUAACAAUUCACCCUUCUCCAGUGGAGCCACUUCAUGAUUCUGAAGGUUCUGGGCGAUUACAUGGAGUUGUUUUCUCCUCAAAACGAUGGUUUGACGCGUCUUGAAGUUUGAAGGAUGAAUUUGAGGUGGAUGGUAACAUGGAGAUCUA